CACUCGGAGGUUCUUAAAAGCCAGCAGAGAAGUGUUUCCUGGCCUGGACUGUUGUCUACAGAAGUGAGAGAAUAUGAGGCAUGGAGCCAUCUCUCCUUUCAAGGUGGCACUACUAGAGAUACUCAGACUCACCUCUUCUUCCCCUCCAUCUCAUUCCUGCUUUCCUGUAGUCCCGGGGAUCAUGAGGUUCUGGGGUACCCACCCUCAUUCCAUUCCUUUUGUGCUGUGUGAUGGUAGCCUGGGCCCUGAGCUAUGAUGGUCAGGAUUGAGGUCUCAGGGCCUCUUUCCUAGAGAAGUAGCUAAGAAAGUGGCCAAGGGAUGUGGAUGGAAGAGAUGAGAAGCUACUUGCCCAGGAGAGGUGGGAAGAGAGAGAAGCUCUUUGCAGGGGGGUGACAGGGCACUUGGGACCCUCGCAACCAUGGACAGGUUAGGCUUGGGGCAUUGGAAUUGGACGCCAGGUACUGGACUUGGGUCACUUGCCUGGAUCCUGUCCCCUGACCUCCCCUGCCUUUGCUCUCCUUUCUACAGAGACUUAAGAACCCAUUCUGCUUUUGAUGCACUCACAAAAAUAAAGUUGCGAAUAAUCCCUAGAGAGGAAGACGAAUAAACAAGCUUUAAAAAUGCAAAAGGAAAUGUGUCCUUUAUUAAAAAAGAAAAAAAAAAGAAGUGGAAAAAAAUGCAGAGGAGGGCCACAGCCAACUCCCUUGAGUGAAAGUUUCCAGCUGUUGAGACAGAAGGUCCCAGCGUCCUCAGGGCACUGGGGGGAACCCAAGGGUGAGAAGUUGCAGUCCGGGCUCAGUAUGGGUUCAACUCAGAGUUAGGGUCCAGCUCAGUGGCCACCAUGAGGGAUCCAAGUCUUUCUUCAAUUUUCUCCAUCCUGAGGACAGCUCUGCUAUGGGAACCAGGCAAAGACAACAGAGGGCUGCUGUACCUGGAAGAGUAGGGCUAAGAAAGAGAUUUCAACAGGCACGAAGUACAGAGAUGCCUGGGAC